UACGUAGGGUGCAAGCGUUAAUCGGAAUUACUGGGCGUAAAGCGUGCGCAGGCGGUUAUGUAAGACAGAUGUGAAAUGCCCGGGCUUAACCUGGGAACUGCAUUUGUGACUGCAUGGCUAGAGUUUGGCAGAGGGGGGUAGAAUUCCACGUGUAGCAGUGAAAUGCGUAGAUAUGUGGAGGAACACCGAUGGCGAAGGCAGCCCCCUGGGUCAAGACUGACGCUCAUGCACGAAAGGCGUGGGGAGCAAACAGG
rnacentral:rRNA from 1 species